rnacentral:rRNA from 1 species
UACGGAGGGUGCAAGCGUUAUCCGGAUUCACUGGGUUUAAAGGGUGCGUAGGUGGGCUAGUAAGUCCGUGGUGAAAUCUCUGAGCUUAACUCGGAAACUGCCGUGGAUACUAUUAGUCUUGAAUCUCGUGGAGGUAAGCGGAAUAUGUCAUGUAGCGGUGAAAUGCUUAGAUAUGACAUAGAACACCAAUUGCGAAGGCAGCUGGCUACACAAAUAUUGACACUGAGGCACGAAAGCGUGGGGAUCAAACAGG